rnacentral:rRNA from 1 species
UACGAAGGGGCUAGCGUUGCUCGGAAUCACUGGGCGUAAAGGGUGCGUAGGCGGGUUUUUAAGUCAGGGUGAAAUCCUGGAGCUCAACUCCAGAACUGCCUUUGAUACUGAAGAUCUUGAGUCCGGAGAGGUGAGUGGAACUGCGAGUGUAGAGGUGAAAUUCGUAGAUAUUCGCAAGAACACCAGUGGCGAAGGCGGCUCACUGGCCCGGUACUGACGCUGAGGCACGAAAGCGAUGGG